rnacentral:rRNA from 1 species
GACGAACGCUGGCGGCGUGCUUAACACAUGCAAGUCGAACGGAAAGACCCUGCUUUUGUGGGGUGCUCGAGUGGCGAACGGGUGAGUAACACGUGAGUAACCUGCCCUUGACUUUGGGAUAACUUCAGGAAACUGGGGCUAAUACCGGCUAGGAGCUCCUGCUGCAUGGUGGGGGUUGGAAAGUUUCGGCGGUUGGGGAUGGACUCGCGGCUUAUCAGCUUGUUGGUGGGGUAGUGGCUUACCAAGGCUUUGACGGGUAGCCGGCCUGAGAGGGUGAUCGGCCACAUUGGGACUGAGAUACGGCCCAGACUCCUACGGGGGACAGCAGUGGGGAAUAUUGCACAAUGGGCGGAAGCCUGAUGCAGCAACGCCGCGUGCGGGAUGACGGCCUUCGGGUUGUAAACCGCUUUCGCCUGUGACGAAGCGUGAGUGACGGUAAUGGGUAAAGAAGCACCGGCUAACUACGUG